rnacentral:rRNA from 1 species
AUUGAACGCUGGCGGCAGGCCUAACACAUGCAAGUCGAACGAGUGGCGGACGGGUGAGUAAUGUCUGGGAAACUGCCUGAUGGAGGGGGAUAACUACUGGAAACGGUAGCUAAUACCGCAUACCAUCAGAUGUGCCCAGAUGGGAUUAGCUGGUUGGUGGGGUAACGGCUCACCAGGGCGACGAUCCCUAGCUGGUCUGAGAGGCUGACCAGCCACACGGGAACGGGUACACGGUCCAGACUCCUACGGGGGGAAGCAGUGGGGAAUAUUGCACAAGGGGCGCAAGCCUGCUGCAGAAAUGCCGCGUGUAUGAAGAAGGCCUUCGGGUUGUAAAGUACUUUAAGCGGGGAGGCGUUACCCGCAGAAGAAGCACCGGCUAACUCCGUGCCAGCCGCCGCGGUAAUUC